rnacentral:rRNA from 1 species
CGUAGGGACCGAGCGUUGUCCGGAUUCAUUGGGCGUAAAGAGCCCGUAGGCGGCCACUCAAGUCGAAUGUGAAACCUCGAGGCUUAACCUCGAGCCUGCAUUCGAUACUGGGCGGCUAGAGUCUGGUAGGGGGAUCUGGAAUUCCUGGUGUAGCGGUGGAAUGCGCAGAUAUCAGGAGGAACACCGGUGGCGAAGGCGGGAACCUGGGCCAGUACUGACGCUGAGGAGCGAAAGCGUGGGGAGCAAACAGGAUUAGAUACCCUGGUAGUCCACGCCGUAAACGAUGGGCGCUAGGUGUGGGAGGUCAUCGACUCCUUCCGUGCCGCAGCUAACGCAUUAAGCGCCCCGCCUGGGGAGUACGGCCGCAAGGCUA